GAGGCUAUGGAGAAUGUUGGUGCCAAAACCCCUGUUCUCUGCUCUACAGAGGGAAUUAAACAUGCUGUUAAAGACAUCACAAUUUCCAACCACUGCUUGACCCUGAGGCAACAAACCUUUCAUUUAGCGCAUCAGUGUAUUGUCUUGAACAAUAUAAGCCCAGCGCGGUCAAUAAUUCGUGGCACAACAUGUUAAAUACAAUCUCUCCAACUGUCGAAGAUACCUUCUCCAACUUUUGCGCAAUGAUUAAUUGUAUCAGUUCGUCUUACAUUCUCAGCAUUUUUGUAAACACCUGGUAGCUGUAUUCCAGAAAAUUCCGUAAUAAAUACACUAAUAAAAUAUCCAAGUGAGUGGUUUCCAUAGAUUUUAAAAGUUUUACAGCUGGGGCAAUGUCGCUUAUAAAAGCAAGUCCGUCGUUUUUUUUUUCCUAACGGCGACAUUUUGCUUAUUGAACUCCUGUUUUAGUACUUUUAUGGCAAAAAAUGAGUUCCCUAUUACAUUAAUUUCUUGUAAUUAGUGUUGCCACGAAAAAAUGUCUUUGUGAGCUGUGAAGUAGGACAUAAUAAUAUGUGUGUAUGCAAAAUGUUUUGUGAGGAGCGAGAGUUCUGUAAACAGUCCCAUUUUCCGCGUGAUGGAGAUUUGUAGCAUUUUAUACACAUUUACGACGACAGUGAGAGUCACUUUAAUGAUACCAAGAACAACAGACAAAGCAAAGCAAACUAAGAGCAGUUUGAAUAAAUGAUGAUAUUAAUUUUUA